rnacentral:misc_RNA from 1 species
GUAGGUGAACCUGCGGAAGGAUCAUUAGUGAAUUUUAGGGCAUCUACUUCGGUAGAGCCUGACCCCCACUUUCUAACACUGUGCACACAUUGGCGGGAGAAUAUUAGCAAGGAAGUAAAAUUUUUAGCUUAUAUUUUCUUGCGGCUCAUUUUAAACAUUAGUUAAAGUAUGUAACGAAAUAUCGAAAUAAAAAAAACUUUCAACAACGGAUCUCUUGGCUCUC